AUUGAACGCUGGCGGAAUGCUUUACACAUGCAAGUCGAACGGCAGCACGGACUUCGGUCUGGUGGCGAGUGGCGAACGGGUGAGUAAUAUAUCGGAACGUGCCCAGUCGUGGGGGAUAACGUAGUGAAAAUUACGCUAAUACCGCAUACGAUCUAAGGAUGAAAGCGGGGGAUCGCAAGACCUCGCGCGAUUGGAGCGGCCGAUAUCAGAUUAGGUAGUUGGUGAGGUAAAGGCUCACCAAGCCAACGAUCUGUAGCUGGUCUGAGAGGACGACCAGCCACACUGGGACUGAGACACGGCCCAGACUCCUACGGGAGGCAGCAGUGGGGAAUUUUGGACAAUGGGCGCAAGCCUGAUCCAGCAAUGCCGCGUGCAGGAAGAAGGCCUCGGUUGUAACGUAGCUUUUGUACGGUAACGAAAAGGACUACUGGUUAAUACCUAGGGCGUCAUGACGGUACCGUAACGAAUAAGACACCGGCUAACUACGU
rnacentral:rRNA from 1 species